GGGGGUGUAGCACAGUGGUAGAGCAUUUGACUGCAGAUCAAGAGGUCCUUGGUUCAAAUCCAGGCGCCCCCU
rnacentral:tRNA from 1 species